rnacentral:rRNA from 1 species
UAGUAAGAAGCUUGCUUCGAACUAGUUUUAUCUCCCCUUGCUAUUAGCGAUUAAAUUAGAACUGUUACGAACAAGAAGAAUCCGACUGUUUAAUUAAAACAAAGCGUUGUGAUGUAUCGAAAAUGUAGAUGACAUAACGUGAUUUCUGCCCAGUGCUCUGAAUGUGAAUUUAUAGAAAUGUACGGAAGCGCGGGUAAACGGCGGGAGUAACUAUGACUCUCUUAAGGUAGCCAAAUGCCUCGUCUUAUAAUUAGAGACGUGCACGAAUGGAUCAACGAGACUCUUACUGUCCCUAAUUACCGCUUGGCGAACUCACUGUCAGGGGAACGGGCCUGACAAAAAAUAUGGGGAAAGAAGACCCUUUUGAGCUUAACUCUAGUCAGACAUUGUGAAGCGACGCGAAAGGUAUAGUUAUAAGUGGGAGUCGCUGACGAUCUUGAAAUACCACUACUUUUGUAGUUGCUUUACUUAAUUUUCAUGUAGAAUGAGCACUUAGCGCUCACUUCAAGUUGUAAUCAUGAUUACACGUCCCUAAAGCUGUAGUGGCAAGGUUAUGCUGAGUAUAUCGCUAUCUUGUCGCGUCCUCUGGGUAUGGAUCUUCUCGGGAAGCAGAGUUGCCCUCUGUGGAACGGAAACCGACGCCCUUAGGACUUGGGUGACCUCUGUAGCAUUGAGAUCUAUAAAAAUGACAUUGUUUGGUGGGGAGUUUGGCUGGGGCGGCACAUAGAAUAAAUCGUAACUUCUGUGUCCAAAGUAAUACUCAAUGAGAACGGAAAUCUCAUGUAGAAUAAAAGGGUAAAAGUAUUAUUGAUGUGAAUUUUCAGUAUGAAUGCACAACGUGAAAGCGCGGCCUAUCGAUCCUUAAUCUGUUGAUUAACUUAAGUUUGAGGUGUCAGAAAAGUUACCAUAGGGAUAACUGGCUUGUGGCGGCCAAGAGUCCAAAUCGACGUCGCUUUUUGAUCCUUCGAUGUCGGCUCUUCUUAGCCUUCGAAAGCAGAAUUUCGAAAGGGUGUGAUUGUUCACCACUCAAAAAGGAACGUGAGCUGGGUUUAGACCGUCGUGAGACAGGUUAGUUUUACCCUGUAUUUGAUUAGUAUAUUGUGUCGUGAUAGUAAUUUGAUUUAGUACGAGAGGAACCAUUGAUUCAGGCCCCUAGUAUAUAGCGUAUUCUGAAAGGGAUUUGCGCUGUGGCCACGCCUGUUGGCUUAUGACUGAAUGCCUCUCAAGUCAGAAACCAUACUAGAAAACGAGACGAGAGCGAUGUGAUGUCGAAGCGGGUCGAAAUAACCGAUACUUAGUAAAGGUUUCU